rnacentral:lncRNA from 1 species
CUGAAAUGUCUUGCGAUGAUAAAGCUGUCCCUGUGAAGAUGAGGCAGCAGAUCCAUUAAUAGAAAAUACUUAAAACUGUUUUUUUCCUUAGGAUUAUUUAUUCAGAGCGCACACCACACACAUCAUUGCUGCUCCUACCAAAGGCACUUGAUGGGGACAGGGUGCAGUCUUCUGUCAUAACAUGCUUCCUGCAGCAUCACCCAAGACUGCAGUGUCACUGGUUAUACACAUCACAAGCCUUUGAUUAAAAACUUCCACUUUAAAAAUUCAGAAGGUUAUUUUAGAGGGAGUUUGGGAACUUCUAUUUUUAGUGAUUUGAGUAGAAAUUACAGUAACUUUGUUAAAGCUGGUCUCUUGAGUGUGGAAUUUGCAGGUACCAAGCUGCUUUUGGUAUACUGUUCUUAGAAACCAGCCCUGUUCUCCAGGGUGCUAAAUGCCUGCACUUUUCAGGUACUGUUCCUUCCGUCAUUUGACCUCUUGUGGCUCUUCUGUUACUGUAACUAAUCUUAUGGGGUUGGAGGUUUUGGUUACAUUCAGUAUCAUUCAAUAUGCACUCAGUGUUGUUCUUGACUGAUCUGAAGUAUGGUCCGUUUGUAGCUUACCAGAGCCCCAAGAGGAGGAAAACUGCAGCAUUUACAGCAGCAUUAGUGUCUGGCAAAUUUACCAAGUCACAGAUUCUGACAUUGAUUAACCAGACCCACCUGGAUCUGAAGUACUGACUGACCAUAUUUAUUAAAGAAUUUAAAAACAAGCAAACAACCAACUUUGAGCUUCAUUAAAUUCCGAGGCCACUGUCUGAAACUGUACACAGCUGGGGGAUCCAAGUAUGCAUGUCCAGAGGCUCCGAGCAGCGGCUACUUUCACUCAGUGCAGAUCAAGUCUUUCACAGUACCUACCAAAUAGCUAGGUAUGCAUCAUCAGAGGCUCUUCUAGCCCUAAAUGGCACCAAAGAGGGCAGCUGCAUAUGAAGUGAUUUAAUACUGAACACACUUACUACACUCAUUUCUAUCAAUUUAUUUUGUAUAUAUAGACAGCUUUUUAUAUGCGUUUUUCUUAAUUCCAUAACUCAUGAAAUGUAGUGAAUCUGCAAGUUGUAGUUAUUUUUAAUGCCGAUUCAAACCGGUGUUUGGCUGUUUGUUUUCUGCAGCAAUUACUUGAAUCUUGUUUCCAUGAGGUAGUGAAGUCUGACAAUGUUUACAGGAUUGUUUCCUUUGGUUUGGGGGUUUCCUGUCCCAGGAAACAGAGAGCACGUGCUCAGCAGUCAGGCAGAUGUGUUGGGGAAUGAAGUGCUGGAAUCACCUUUGUUGGCACCAAAGCAUUAACGGCCACAUGCAGAUUCCCUUCCCUUCACAUUGCUUAGCUGACAACUCACACACUUAGCACGUUCCUUUCUGAUCAGCAAUUUACAAUCGUCAAACCACCAUGGAAGGAGGCAGCAUCCCUGCUGUUACACCUGCCCCCUCUUUCACCUGGACAGGUUAAACGUCCCUGGGUUCUCUCUGCAGUUAUGGUUGUAUUUGUCAACACGGGUCAUCAACGUUUGCACUACUCACAAGGUCCCAACUGUUCUGCUUCCAUGUGCUUGUUUUUAAUUGUGCUGCCUAAACUUUGCAUGAGCCGUAUUGAAGUCUGAGGUGAAGUGUAAAGGAUCUAUGUAGUAACAGCACAUUUUAUUUUUUGUAUGUUACCAAUAGGACUAGUCCUAUGCACAGAGAAAACAUGUUGCCAUUUAUAGUUUAAUACUUGAAGUAACUUUUUAAAGGGGGCUUUUAUAAAUUAAUUAAAUACAAAAAUCACACUGCUUUGCCUGGAAGUUCCUUCAUUUUUUAAUUGUAUUGUGCAAUUUCCCCCUAUGUAUGCUUUUCCAUAAAUGUUAUCUUAAGCCAUUUAUAGCCACUAAAGGUGCAUUCAGGAUUUUGUACAUCAGUGUUCAGACCUGUUCAUACCUCUCUGAAGUAUAGUUUGUGUUGAAAUAAAAAAAGUUGUACCAUUUUAGGCCUCUUUUCCAAUGUGAUAAAAUAUGAAUGGACUUGACACUUGAAUUCAUCAGUGAAUGCAACAUCAACUUAAUAAAAGUAUGUGAAAGAAUCUAAAAA